rnacentral:rRNA from 1 species
UACCAGACUCCUACGGGAGGCAGCAGUGAGGAAUAUUGGUCAAUGGGCUUACGCCUGAACCAGCCAAGUCGCGUGAGGGAAGACUGCCCUAUGGGUUGUAAACCUCUUUUGUCAGGGAGCAACGCCGGCUACGUGUAGCCGGACUGAGAGUACCUGAAGAAAAAGCAUCGGCUAACUCCGUGCCAGCAGCCGCGGUAAUACGGAGGAUGCGAGCGUUAUCCGGAUUUAUUGGGUUUAAAGGGUGCGUAGGCGGAAUGCCAAGUCAGCGGUAAAAUCGCGGGGCUCAACCUCGCUCCGCCGUUGAAACUGGCGUCCUUGAGUGGGCGAGAAGUAUGCGGAAUGCGUGGUGUAGCGGUGAAAUGCAUAGAUAUUACACAGAACACCGAUUGCGAAGGCAGCUUGCUAGGCCGGAUCUGACACUGAUGCACGAAAGCGUGGGGAUCGAACAGGAUUAGAUACCCGGGUAAG